rnacentral:rRNA from 1 species
UACGUAGGAUGCGAGCGUUGUCCGGAGUUAUUGGGCGUAAAGAGCACGUAGGCGGUGCGAUAAGUGUGGUGUGAAAUCUGGGGGGCUUAACUCCCAGCGGUCGCUGCAGACUGUCGCGCUGGAGGGCUGGAGAGGAAGAUAGAAUUCCCCGGUGUAGUGGUGAAAUGCGUAGAUAUCGGGGAGGAAUACCAGUGGCGAAGGCGGUCUUCUGGCCAGUUCCUGACGCUGAGGUGCGAAAGCUAGGGGAGCGAACGGG